CAUUCGAUGAUUCGAUAAAAUUGGAACGAUACGGAGAAGAUUAGUAUGACCCCGUGCGUGCAAGGAUAACACAUGCACAAAUCGAGAAAUGUUCCAAAAUUUU